CAUAACAGAGGGUCUGCCUGGGGGCUUUUCUUUGCUAAAUACCAAAGUUAGAGACCAGAGUCAGAGAGAAAGUCCUGAACACUGGAAGGUAGCUGGAAGGCAGGAAAUAAUCUGGUUUACAAAGGUGGAGAGUUUUAGAUGCUUUUUUAUGGUCUCUUUCAUGCCCAUUCUCAAAGUACUCCCUGUCUUCAGAUUGCACUGCUGGGAAGGCAAAUAGAACCUUCUUGACCAACAAACCAAGAAUAAUUUUAACAAAAUGUGUACCUGAAUGGCUUGACUAUGUCAUCUGACCCCUGAUUUCCUAAGAUCGCCUGUCCAAUUUGAGGCUCCAGUGGAACAGUACUGGGGGACAUCACAGGCUACUCAGGUUAACUGAAAGUCUGGGGCUGGGAACAAAGAGGAACUCAACUGCUCUUUCCUGGUAAAUGCCUGCAAACCUAGCCCUGAGGGAGCUUUUGAUGCCCCGGUGUGCCUUUCAGCAGAAAACUGAGAUUACUUCACAUCAAAACAGAGAAAGUGUAAAUAGCAAAAGUCUUUAUUUGAAACUUCAUUUGGAAAUUAAGACUCUCAUAUUUCCAAAAUAUAUUAUCAUAAGGUUACCAACUCUCUUGAGUGAGAUAUUUCUGGUGUUUGUGUGCUGUUAA
rnacentral:lncRNA from 1 species